AGGCAACGAGAAAGGUGUUGUUGCGAGGGAGACAUAAAGAUGGACUUUAUCAAGUUGAGUUGAAGGAUCAGCCAGUAAAUGAAACUCAAAACCCUGUUCAAGUUUUUAUUUCUAAAUUUUUUUAAAAAUCUUGUUUCGAGUCUAUUGAGUCCUGACACAAAUGUUUGGGUCAUCCAUCAAAUAAAGUGUUAUCAAAUGCACUUGAGUCUUGUAAUAAAACUUCUAUAAUGAAUGGAAAAAUGAGUUU
rnacentral:lncRNA from 1 species